UACAGAGGUGGCGAGCGUUAUUCGGAAUUAUUGGGCGUAAAGAGCUCGUAGGCGGUGUGUCGCGUCGGCCGUGAAAACCUGCAGCUUAACUGUGGGCUUGCGGUCGAUACGGGCAUCACUGGAGUUCGGCAGGGGAGACUGGAAUUCCUGGUGUAGCGGUGAAAUGCGCAGAUAUCUGGAGGAACACCAGUGGCGAAGGCGGCUUCCUGGCCUGCAACUGACGCUGAGACGCGAAAGCGUGGGGAGCGAACCGG
rnacentral:rRNA from 1 species